rnacentral:piRNA from 1 species
UCCAAGUGCUUGUUGCGCCGUGCACUGGGA